rnacentral:rRNA from 1 species
UGGGGCAGCGUACACAUGCAGUCGAGCGGAAACGAUGGGAGCUUGCUCCCAGGCGUCGAGCGGCGGACGGGUGAGUAAUGCAUAGGAAUCUGCCCGGUAGUGGGGGAUAACCUGGGGAAACUCAGGCUAAUACCGCAUACGUCCUACGGGAGAAAGCAGGGGAUCUUCGGACCUUGCGCUAUCGGAUGAGCCUAUGUCGGAUUAGCUAGUUGGUGAGGUAACGGCUCACCAAGGCCGCGAUCCGUAGCUGGUCUGAGAGGAUGAUCAGCCACAUCGGGACUGAGACACGGCCCGAACUCCUACGGGAGGCAGCAGUGGGGAAUAUUGGACAAUGGGCGAAAGCCUGAUCCAGCCAUGCCGCGUGUGUGAAGAAGGCCCUCGGGUUGUAAAGCACUUUCAGUGAGGAAGAAGGCUUGUGGGUUAAUACCCUGCAAGAAGGACAUCACUCACAGAAGAAGCACCGGCUAACUCCGUGCCAGCAGCCGCGGUAAUACGGAGGGUGCGAGCGUUAAUCGGAAUUACUGGGCGUAAAGCGCGCGUAGGCGGCUUGAUAAGCCGGUUGUGAAAGCCCCGGGCUCAACCUGGGAACGGCAUCCGGAA